UUCGGGUUGUAAAAACUCUGUCUUCUGUGACGAACAAGCCUGUGAGUGGAAAGCUCAGGCCCUGACGGUAACAGAGGAGGAAGCCACGGCUAACUACGUGCCAGCAGCCGCGGUAAUACGUAGGUGGCAAGCGUUGUCCGGAAUCACUGGGCGUAAAGCGCGCGCAGGCGGCGAUCUACGUCUGGGGUGAAAGCCCGGAGCUCAACUCCGGGACUGCCUUGGAUACGGGAUCGCUUGAGGAUUGGAGAGGCAAGGGGAAUUCCACGUGUAGCGGUGAAAUGCGUAGAGAUGUGGAGGAACACCUGUGGCGAAGGCGCCUUGCUGGCCAAUUACUGACGCUGAGGCGCGAAAGCGUGGGGAGCAAACAGGAUUAGAUACCCUGGUAGUCCACGCCGUAAACGAUGAGUGCUAGGUGUUGGGGGGUACCACCCUCAGUGCCGAAGCUAACGCAUUAAGCACUCCGCCUGGGGAGUACGGUCGCAAGACUGAAACUCAAAGGAAUUGACGGGGGCCCGCACAAGCAGUGGAGCAUGUGGUUUAAUUCGAAGCAACGCGAAGAACCUUACCAAGACUUGACAUCCCGCUGACCGCUCUAGAGAUAGAGUUUCCCUUCGGGGCAGCGGUGACAGGUGGUGCAUGGUGUCGUCAGCUU
rnacentral:rRNA from 1 species